UACGUAGGGGGCAAGCGUUGUCCGGAAUCAUUGGGCGUAAAGCGCGUGUAGGCGGUCCGAUAAGUCGGUUGUGAAAGUCAAAGGGCUCAACCCUUGAAUGCCGACCAUACUGUCGGGCUAGAGUCCGAAGAGGUGAGUGGAAUUCCUGGUGUAGCGGUGAAAUGCGCAGAUAUCAGGAGGGAAACACCCGGUGGCGAAAGGCGGGGUCUCUG
rnacentral:rRNA from 1 species